UGGGUAUGAACUGUAGAGCUGUCACUCUCCAGGACAUCUAGAAGGUCAUCUCUUCCCUGCCUUUUCCACCCCCUUCCCCUGAAGCAGCAGCUGCAAAACAACAAAUGAGUAUUUUUUUACUAGGUAUGAACUCUGUUUCCAACUCUAUGUGAAGUCCUCAACAUACAUCAACUUACUGAAUCUUCAUCAAACUCUUGGGAGGCAAUGUUUUCAAUGUCAGGUAACUUGCCCAAGGCCACACAGCCAGAAAUUAGUGAUACCUCGAUUCAAACUCAGUGAUGGAGGCACCCGUGGAAUGCAGAGACUAAGUGAAGUGUGUAAUAGACCCCCAAAAGCUGCAGCCGUAAAACUGUCCACACAACCCCAGGGGGGUUGCAGCUGUACAUGGCAGAGGGUCAUGUGUAUGUAAGGAGUACAGAGCAGAAGAUCAGCAAAGAGAAGGCAGAGCUCCUCUGGCUUUUUGAUCCCAAAGUUGCCAGGUGUCUAAGAAGCAUAGCAGUCUUCCAAUCAAGUAGUGCCACAUCUGGGCCUGAUACAGAGCCUCUGAUGCGUCUCACCCUGAUGAAGAGAUCACAGGAAUCACUCAGAGAACCUGGGCAUUGAACUAGGAGCUGGUAACAGAAACGUUGUGGGUUUCAUUUGCCUGCUGUGUUGGAGUUAGGUGUGGCCACAGGACUUGCUUUGGCCAGGAAGAUUACCUUUUGUGGACUGCACAAAGAUAGGCCAGGGAGAAGGGUUUGACUUAGGCUUACCUUGCCAACAAGCGCCGACAACCUUUACUAAAUGCAUAUCCUGCUUGGUGAAUAAGAAAGUUCCUGCUUUCAGGGAGCUUCCAGUCCAGUCAUAGAAUUGACAGAAAAGCUUGUAACAGAGUGUGACCCUCGCCCACAUGGAUUUGUACAAGAUCUUCCCAGGAGGGCGCCUGCACUUCUGAACUGGCAGGGAGAAGUACAGUGUGUUUUCAGCAGAAGGUGAUUGUGACAGCUCAGAAAGCACCUGCUGGGCCUUCUGUCAAAAAGCAAUUGCUGACUCAGGGCAGUGGAGCACAGGGAAGCAGGAAACAUGAAAGGUGGCCUGUGUCAGAGACCACCUCCGUUUGCAGUUUGGUUGAGUAACAUUUGGUCACAUCCCCAGAACAAUCCUGGAAAAUGCCCCUCGAAAUUUGUGCUUGAAGCGUGUAAAUCAAGAAUUGCUAGUACACAGGAUUAAAUUCAUCUGUGGAGAGAGAAAAUACACCUUUAUUAUGUACUGAUGAUAUGCCUGGUAGCCUGGCACCAUGCUAUGAUUUUUGCCUGUGUAAUCAGCUUAUUGGAUCAGCGGGUUUAUUGUUUCCCACCACAGCCUGUAAAUGCUGUCAAUCUGACUCAGCACACCCUUGGAAAACACCCUGGGAAGAUGCCUUAACUUCCAGGUUUUACUGCUGGCCUCAUUUUCAUGUGUUAAAAAGGGCACUUCUGUUAGUGUCUCAUCUAAAAGCUUCUCAUACCCAGCCUGGGGCUAGUCUGCAAAUUCCCCAUGGAGAUCAGGCAGGCAGACUGAUGUGGGAGUCACCGUUUAGGCCAGAGAGCCGCCCUCAGCCUUGUAGGGAUUGCACAUCCUUCUGUCCCCUGCAGGAAGAGGACAGAGACCAGCCCGGGGAGGUGAGGCCUCAUGUACUAUUGCUCAGCAGAGUGGUCUCCUCAGACCGUUGCAGGCUUCUUUCCCAUGUGGGUUUUGUAAAGCACGGCUCCGCAAGAUGUACCAAGAACAAUGGCAUCCAGGGUCAAAAAUGUUUUGGGAAAACUUCAUGUAACAGUUUUCUUCUAGCAAGACUCCUCAGAGCAGUGGUUCUCAAAGUGUGGUCCCUGAAUCAGCAGCUAGUGUCACCAUGUGGUACAGACUGAAUGUUUGUAUCCCCCCAAAUUCAGACGUUCAAGUCCUACCCCCGAAUUUGUUGGUGUUUGGAGGUGAGAGCUUUGGGAGGUUUGGCUGAGGUCUGAGGGUGGGCCCCACGGUGGGAUGACUGUAAGAAGAGGGAGACCAGAGCCUCUCUCUCUCUCUCUCUGCCAUGUGAGGGCACAGGGAGGGGGCAGCCACCUGCACACCAGGAAGUGGGCCUCCACUGGCAGCCGGAUGUACCGGCACCUUGAUCCUGGACUUCCAGCUUCCAGAACUGUGACAAAAUAAA